GGGCCCGCACAAGCAGCGGAGCGUGUUGCUUAAUUCGAUGAUACGCGAGGAACCUUACCAGGGCUUAAAUGUAGUGGGACAGGUCUAGAGAUAGACCCUUCUUCGGACUCAUUACAAGGUGCUGCAUGGUUGUCGUCAGCUCGUGCCGUGAGGUGUCAGGUUAAGUCCUAUAACGAGCGCAACCCCUAUCGUUAGUUGCCAGCGGGUCAUGCCGGGAACUCUAGCGAAACUGCCGGUGCAAACCGAGAGGAAGGUGGGGAUGACGUCAAAUCAUCACGGCCCUUACGUCCUGGGCCACACACGUGCUACAAUGGCCGGUACAGAGAGCAGCCACUACGCGAGUAGGAGCGAAUCUACAAAACCGGUCUCAGUUCGGAUCGCAGUCUGCAACUCGACUGCGUGAAGCUGGAAUC
rnacentral:rRNA from 1 species